rnacentral:lncRNA from 1 species
CAGCUGACCCUGUGAGGGAUGAUUUGUCCACUUUGUUUUCAGGGAGAAGAAACUUGGGGUCGCUGCCACUGGAGCCGCAGACCCUGAGAGACAGGUGGAGCAGAACUCACCUCCUCCACCAUCACUCAGCAGACGUGUCUGCGUUUGUUGCUGCGUCGGUUUCAAAUGUUUUUAUUGCGAAGCAUUGUGUUCAAAAAUAGCAAAACAUGGUAUUGCCAUUUUUAUUUUCCAUAUAAACAAACAUAACGUCAGAAGACACAAGAAGAACUUUCUUCAAAUAGAAAUAAGAAAAAACAAGUCAAGAUAAUCUAAUAAAGAAUAAAGAAAGAAUAUAAUAACAUAAACAUAAUAAUAAAAUAAUAAUAAAAUAAUUGAUUAAAAACAGAUAACAAUAACAACAAUUAUACUAUGUGCAUGUGUUGCUGUAUCAGGAUGAUGUUUCGUAGACAAAAACACAAUAAACACAUCUCACAUGUCACAAACUAUUUAUUAUUAUAUAUUUUCUGAUGUGACGCAUUGAGCAACAUCUUAUCUUGAGGUUUUCUCCACAUUUACUGGCUGGAUAUCUUUUAUUUACACGAUGCAUCUCUUCUUCCGACCGCAUCAAGCAGUUCAGGGCUGGAAAUCGGCCAUUUGACGGCUGGAGACGAGAUGUCCUCCACAAGCCCGGAGUCGAUCUGCAGGCUGUGGGGAAAGAGCCAAACCCAAAGUCAAGAGAUGACAAACACACAGAGGACGCAGAGCAGAGAGGAAGGUCUCAUGUGGGCUACAGAGCAGCUCUCAGUCAGCUGACCGGGUCCAGAACGAGACGAGAUGUCCCCUCGCUGGACUACUUUAAUGAGGACUACCACAGGGACUUCUCAAACGUUCUAGGCGAGGUGGCCAACCUGAGGGUCCCUGGUGUUCCUGCUCCUGCUCCUCCCACUGGGACUCCACAGGAUGCAGCUUAUUACAACUACAGAACCAGGACUCCUUCCAAUCUGAGUUCAGUAUUUCAAACAUCUUCGUGUCGACAAAUCAUGUCCGCUUUGUAAUACUGGGAACCAUGUGUAUGUGUAUGUUCUGUUUCCCCACAUAUCUGUGGUAUGAACAUUAACUGUCAAACUUACAUCAUCACCGUGUAUAAAAACAGCCACGACGUUUGUUCAAAAAAACAUUAAAAAGUAUUAUA